AGAGUUUGAUCCUGGCUCAGGACGAACGCUGGCGGCGUGCUUAACACAUGCAAGUCGAACGGGGUCCAACUAGUGGCAACACUGGGGAAGAUCUAGUGGCGAACGGGUGAGUAAUGCAUCGGAACGUGUCCUCUUGUGGGGGAUAACCAGUCGAAAGACUGGCUAAUACCGCAUGAGAUCGAAAGAUGAAAGCGGGGGACCGCAAGGCCUCGCGCGAGAGGAGCGGCCGAUGCCGGAUUAGCUAGUUGGUGGGGUAAAAGCCUACCAAGGCGACGAUCCGUAGCUGGUCUGAGAGGACGACCAGCCACACUGGGACUGAGACACGGCCCAGACUCCUACGGGAGGCAGCAGUGGGGAAUUUUGGACAAUGGGCGCAAGCCUGAUCCAGCCAUGCCGCGUGUGUGAAGAAGGCCUUCGGGUUGUAAAGCACUUUCGGACGGAACGAAAUCGCGCGCAUGAAUAGUGCGCGUGGAUGACGGUACCGUAAGAAGAAGCACCGGCUAACUACGUGCCAGCAGCCGCGGUAAUACGUAGGGUGCAAGCGUUAAUCGGAAUUACUGGGCGUAAAGGGUGCGCAGGCGGCUCCGCAUGUCAGGCGUGAAAUCCCCGGGCUCAACUUGGGAAUGGCGCUUGAAACUACGGGGCUUGAGUGUGGCAGAGGGAGGUGGAAUUCCACGUGUAGCGGUGAAAUGCGUAGAGAUGUGGAGGAACACCGAUGGCGAAAGCAGCCUCCUGGGCCAACACUGACGCUCAUGCACGAAAGCGUGGGGAGCAAACAAGGAUUAGAUACCCCUGGUAGUCCACGCCCUAAACGAUGACGACUAGUUGUUGGGGGAGUUAAAUCCCUUAGUAACGCAGCUAACGCGUGAAGUCGUCCGUCUGGGGAGUACGGUCGCUAGAUUAAAACUCAAGGAAUUGACGG
rnacentral:rRNA from 1 species